GGAAGGAUCAUUAACACGUAUCCAACGUUAAACAACCCUGUGAACUUUCAAACGCUCUUGUAGCCCAGGCGGAACAGCAAUCCCGGUAAAUCAAUGGCGGAAAAGUUUUGAUUCGGGACCUCUGUCCAAAAGGUAUCAAGUUACAAUCGAGCUAGGAGCAGUGGCAUGGUUUCCCUAAGCAGUGCAGAAGGAUCCACUGAGUAAGGAUAACGCUUCGCGGUUGCCAGAGGUCGAUCACCGGCCGGCAGACAUGUCACAGGGCUAAAUGCCCCUUCAUUCACCCCUUGCCUAAAUUAAGCCCCGCGGAAACGCCGGGCACAAAAACCGAACAACUGUUAACAAUGGAUAUCUUGGUUCUCGCAACGAUGAAGAACGCAGCGAAAUGCGAUACGUAAUGCGAAUUGCAGAAUUCAGUGAAUCAUCGAAUCUUUGAACGCAAAUUGCGCUCUCGGGUUACCCCCAAGAGCACACCUCUCUGAGUGUCGGUUUAACCAAAUGUCACCAAUUUAUUGGUGUACGACAGACUGAGGGUAAGGGGUCUUGGCCUCUUUCCCUUUAAAUCUCAGCCUCACGACUGUGUGUGUUCGUGGCAAGUUGCUUUCACUUAAUUGUGAAUACAAUCCACCGACCCUAUGUUUUGAAGCCAAAAGAAACAAAUGAACAAAGGAGUGAGCUUGGGCGCUUGCUUCAGGCGAUGGACAGGAAACUGUUUGUUGUUUGAGGGAUGUGUCUGAGUAAACAAAUUUGUGCAUCUAUGAAUUAGACCUCAGAUGAAGUGGGAAGACCCCCUGAAUUUAAGCAUAUUAUUAAGGGGAGGAAAAGAAACUAACAAGGAUUCCCCUAGUAACGGCGAGUGAAGCGGGAAGAGCUCAAAUUUAAAAUCCGCUGGUCUAACAGCCUGUGGAGUUGUAAUCUAGAGAGGCUCUCUCAGUGCCAGCCUGGUUAUAAGUCCCUUGAAACGGGGCAUCAAAGAGGGUGAGAAUCCCGUAUUUGAGCCGGAGCUAAGUACGUACGAGGAGCUUUCCAAGAGUCGCGUUGCUUGGGAGUGCAGCGCUAAAUGGGUGGUAAAGUUCAUCUAAAGCUAAAUACUGGCGAGAGACCGAUAGCGAACAAGUACCGUGAGGGAAAGAUGAAAAGAACUUUGAAAAGAGAGUUAAAAAGUACUUGAAAUUGUUAACAGGGAAGGGGAGUAAACCAGUCAUUUCUAAGCUUCAUUCGCUUUUCCUUCGGGAGGGGUUACUUGAGGCUAAGAAGGGUCGGCAUCACUUAGGAUCUUCGCAGAAAUUGUGUGAGUUGGUGCGUUUCUUCGGAUUCGUUUAAUUCACGCUAUCUACGUUGGUGCUGGGUGUGGAGUUAACCCCCCGCCUUCGGGCGUCGGUACUCUAGAGCCUGUUUGUCCUAGCGCGUGAGAGAACAAAGUUCUGUCUGUGCGAAAGAUGAAUACUGCUUUGGAUGUGCCAGAUGGUGUGGUUCGCGAUGCUGACGAAAUGGUUUUCUUCCACCCGUCUUGAAACACGGACCAAGGAGUCUAACAUAUAUGCGAGUAUUUGGGUGACAAACCCUGAUGCGUAAUGAAAGUAAAGAGCUGCAAAGCUUGAGGUAGGAAUCUUACCUUCGGGUGAGAGGCACUAUCGACCGAUCGUUCGCUUGCGGAAGAUUUGAGUAAUAGCAUAUCUGUUGGGACCCGAAAGAUGGUGAUCUAUGCCUGAACAGGGUGAAGCCAGGGGAAACUCUGGUGGAAGCUCGUAGCGAUACUGACGUGCAAAUCGUUCGUCUGAUUUGGGUAUAGGGGCGAAAGACUAAUCGAACCAUCUAGUAGCUGGUUCCCUC
rnacentral:misc_RNA from 1 species